GGAAGCUCUGGUAGAAAGGCCAGGAUAUUAUUGAGCUGGGGGUGGAAAGGCAGUGGUAGUGAUUAUUGUAUCAGUAUGGACAUGGAGCCAUGCAGAUAUUCUGAUGGACCUUCAAAUGUUUUUGGCAGUUCUGUGGUGUUUACAUCUGCCAUAAAAAAUCCCCACUCGUUCCCCACAACUGCUCCAUGUGCCAAAAGAGGAGGCAGUGUCCUUCACUUACCCUUGUGCUGUGCUGCUUGGAACUCCCUCUCCAGCCUGGUGAAUUCACUGUGUCUCACAGUGCUGCAGCUUGGCUGCCCCAAACUGGCUGAGUGUCAAAUAUUUCAGUGCAGUAAUUGCCACAGCUUUGUUCAAAGAGGUUUUUCUGCAUAGGAUAUGAUGUACAGGUGACCACAAGUAAAGAAGAAAAAAUAACAUUAAUACAUUAUUUUUAAGGAGGGAAAGUACUCAUGGGAAGCGGUGUAACACUUCUGAUCAAUAAUGGACAGAGAAAAUGUGGGACAAGAAAAUUCAGUAAAAAGUCAUUUCUGGCACUUUAGAGAGGCAGAGACCACUGAGCAAAGGCCUUACAGACAUUGACAUGUGGGUGUUGAAAACUGAAGCAGUGAAGAAAUAAACAAGGGUAGGUGUAAAUGUGCAGGUUUUGGAUGUGGAGCAAUCAGGGUUUUGAGUUAAAGCUCAGUCUCACUGUGAUACCUGGGCAGGAGUUGGUGUGCAUGUGAGUUCAGCCUUCCAUGGACAGAAAGAGGGCAAUAAAGAGACUCUGUCUCUUUGAAGCAUUUGGGAUGCACCUUGUGGUGCUGGAGAAUAAAUAUAAGGAAUUUCCAAGUAUCAUUAUGAUUAAAUGAGUGGAAAUAGUAUGGUAGGGUUUAAAUUUGCAGCUCAAUUUUCAGAAUGAAACAACACAUACAAAACUACAGAGGUGGGGAGGUUGUUUGCAGGGUUUUUGUUUGCUUUAGAAAGGGAAUUUUCUUUCCCCCAGUUUGGGCAGCAGAUGGGUCUCGUGGGAUUUGCUUUCUGACAUAUGGGAGAUAUUCAGGCUUUCAGAUUUCAUUACCCCUUUCUUCAUUAUUGUGCCUUGAGGAGUUAUAAAUAACACAUGGCUAAUUUGUGAAUAUGGCACGUUCGGGGGGAUGUGUGUAUUUUAACCAGGGCACCUUCUGACAUUUGCCAAUUGGUUUACAGAUUUGUUAUAUAAUUUCACAAGCAAUAAGUUGCUAAGAGGAAAAAAAAUCUAAAUUUAUGUGAUCCAAAAUCUGCCCUCAUUGCACCCCUACAGCAGCUGUGCUCCUUCCAGGUCUAACUGAGGACAGAUUUUAAGUCAACAAGCACAUCAACUGGCAUCUCAAUUUUCAUUUCUUGCAGUUUUAGUAGAGCAGUAGUUAUAUUCUUCACAGCAUCUUUCCUUUAAUUAAGUUUUUCUCUGUGUGUGUGUAUCACUGAACAGCUCCUAAGAUGCAGGCAGAUUGUGUCUGGUGAGAAAUAAGGUUUUGGUGGGAGGUGCCUGUUUGUUACUGGGCACAUUUUGGGUUUGUCAGAACAGGUCACGAGCCUCUGGCAUUUCUGCAUGGGGGCACUGAGAACAUCUGCAGGCAGAUGCUCACGUCCUCCCUUUCCUGAGCUGCCCACCCCAAAUUAGCUUUAUUUCCAAAACCAGCGGCUCCCAGGCUGGCUUGUAGUCCUGCUGUCCUGGAGCCUGGGCAUCAGCCCUUGGAAAUGGGCUGGGGAGUGAUUUGAGGUUUUUUGUGAGAAGAAGCACCCGGGCCAGCGGCGCCAUCAGCCGGGAGCGGCUGCCAGGGAGCGGCCGGAGGCACCAGGGCAGCUCCUGGCAGGAACCCCUGCCUGCCUCACCAGGGCCAGGAUGGGCCCUGCCUUGGGGCGGCCGUGGCUCUGUCCCCGUUUCGUGUCAGCUGUGGGGCACUCCCCCAUUUUGUGUCAGGGCAUGAGGAGGGGGCAUUCCACCAUUUUGUGUCAAGGUGUGGGAUUAUGCCACCAUUUUGUGUCAGGCCAUGGCAUUACUCCGCCAUUUUGUGUCAGGCUCUGGGGUCACUCUGCCAUUUUGAGUCGGGCCAUGAGUUACUCCAUCAUUUUUUGUGUGGAGAGAGGCUGAAUAAGGCUCGAGGGGUGAGGUGUUUCAUAGGAGUGAGAACAUCCUAGAGCUGCUUCUCCUGCUUCUUUUGGCACACACCCCCCUGUUUAUGCUUCCCAAGUGAUAAACUUGUUUACAAGUGUGUUGUUCUACAGUUCCUGUAACUUUUGGACUUGAAUCCUGGGAUGGGAACAGCGAAUGGCCUGGAAACUGAAGUGAGGUCCAUAACGUGGGAACCUGCACAGGGAGGUCUGGGCACUGGGGACUUGUACCCUCCACGUUAUGAGAUGUGGAUGAUGUAUAAGAUCAGACAACUGGGGGGAUUAGGGGGGGAGGAAAGUAGAUCAGCCUGGAUCUGGAAUUCUGAGGACUUCUAUGCCUCUGUUACAUUUUUCAAGUUCUUCUACUUAACCAAUGCAGUACUGGCACAUUUAGAACUGAUGCUAACUACGACAGAAAUAUGGUAGAAGUCCAUUAAAGCCUUGCAACUUCCUUUUCUUGAUUUGAGUUUAGUUUUCUGCAUCACGGAUCCCAUCAUCCCAAGCUGGAGCUGUGAGUGCAAAGAGCUUCACCUGUGCUGGCAUGUUGAAAACCCUGAGAGGCUCCAGCUGCAUUUGCCUUCUGCAGAGUGCUGCUGGGAGUGUAGGACAUCGUACAUCAGUGCCCCAGCACUGAGCCAGGAGCAGUGAGGAGGUGCCUGGAGCACUCUUGGUGCUGUGGGGCAGGGACACAGGAGGGGCUCUCUCAUUCCCAAGGGAAGCUCCCUCAGAAUGGUGAGGCUGCCGAGUGGCAUUCUACAUGGAGCUGGCAGCUUUGUGGCUCACUUUGGGGCUCUCAGCUCUCCACAGACCCAUCACUUCUUCUGUGCUGAGGCUCCUGGUUCGGGCAGCACUCGGUGCCUGACGGCUGCAGCCCAGGACGUCCCCUCCUACCUCGGGAAAAUAUUCCACAGCAAGAAAAUAAAUUGCUUCCUUGAAUUCCAGUUCAAAUUAAUGGAAGUCUGGGGGGGAAGAAACAGACAAACAAACGAAGACCUGCCAAAGGAAAGCCUUGCACCUGUCAGUAACUUGUGAAAAGCGAUUCCUCAUUUCUGAGAUCCCUGCCAGGAAUGGGAGAUUUAGCAAGAGUUUCCAAGUUCCUCAGACAAUUGGAAAUGCCCCAGGUCCCUUCUGCAGCCGAUGUCCUCCUGAGGAUGAUGUGUCACCACGUGAAGAUUGAUCUCAGGAAGGACAAAUCAAUUCUGAAACCCAUCGGAGAGGGAAAUGUUUCGAUACGAGCGUGCUCUGCGGGGUCCAGCCAUGGUCGGACAGGAGGAGUCUCCUCCUCCUCCUCCUCCUCCCACAUUCUUUGUCUUUGCUCUGACACAAACCUGGCCCUGUCUCCCCAUCUCUGGGAGUUGGGCACCCACAUUCUUUCGUGGGAAAAAGGAGAGGAAUAUCUGGCUCCCAGUACCUCCACAGAAGAGUUUGAGUCAUUUACAUGAGGAAUUCAGCGAGCAGAGAUCUUCACUUUGAUCAGAUCUGUCUUUUCAGGAACAAGCUGCCACUCUGGGCACCAAAACAGAUCAUCACAGGAACUACAACAAAGAGCAGUGUUCUGCCAAAGCUGCAGGCAGGAGUCUGUCAGGGAGAAUGAUGGAGCAAGAAGAGCGGAGUUCUAACAGACAAAGGGGGAAGGAAGGAAGGGAGAAAAGUGUCAGAAACUGGAAAAGACUUCAAGGGACACAACACUGCCUAAUGGGGCAGAAACUGAGAGACAAGUGAGCUGCAGUACAGGGUGAUUUGCAUUCCUCCAAGAUGAUUUGUAAAAGGGGAAAAGUUGUAGAUGAAAUGCUUUGAUUCGCCUUUCUCUCACUCUGCCCGUGCACUUGUGUCAUUCAUUUUGUGUAGUAACCUCUACUAAACAGUCAGAGGUUGCAGCAUCAUUUUGGUGCCCUGAAAUUAAGGCAAAAAGCUGCAGUUCUGGAAUUUGGAGCUCAUAGUACCUAACUGGCUGAAGGGAAAAAUAAAGAAGUAAAGAUCAAUGACAACUUUUUGUGUCACGUGAAAAGUCAAAGCUCAUGCAUCAGGGAGCUUCAAAACAAUGAGAUUCAUGUAAGUUCAGCCUAUGUCUCAGUCCUAAAAUUGCAUUAAAAUUAAACUCCCUGUUUCUAAUUCUCAUUCAGUGGAGCUUAGAUGAACCUCAGAUUUUAGGUUAUGGGAGUUAUGGGAAUUGAUUUCUUUGCAACACAAAGUGCCAAAAAUGGGAAAUAGUGGCAGUUUUAGGGGCUCUUUGUGCUUUCUUUCCUUUUUAUUCCUGUCUAUCCAGCAUGGCAGAAAUGCAAUCUAACUGAGUAUCAGGAAGGUGACCUCCAUUAAGUUGGCAAGUGAGGGGAAAAAGUUCAUCUUUCAGGCUUUGAAGGAGCCGAUACCAGGAGAAAAACUGUGCCUGCAAUACAAAGCCAGAAGUUAUCAACUGCCCUGAGAGAUGUUUUCACAAAUCAACAAAGAACACAAGGCAGGAAAACCAGAGCAUUGCUGUGUCUGUGUCCCUCAGAGGAGAGACUGCAAAGCUGCGAGUGCAGAGCAGGUAGGAGCUGGCUGUCAGUGCAGUGUCAGCUCCCAGCAGAACAGGAAUCACUCAGAAGUCUCAGGAUGAGUCCCUGCUGCCUGGCACACUCUGCAGGGUUCCAUGCAAAGCCCAGAAGGGGCAGAGUUUGCAGCCAGCCCCAGAGCACCAUGUCAGGCCGUGCAGAAAGAGGAUUGCAGCAGAAAUAGGGCAUCACUAGAUCUGUCUGAGACCUGGAACUGACCCCAGAUGAGGCUCAACUUGAAUAAUUGUCUUAGUUCCUUCUUUUGUCCUUCCACCCCAAAUAUGUUUAGCCUGUAUUUUGCUCCAGCACGCUUCUAUAAAUCCUCAGAGGAUCCAUCUGGGAAGCACUUCCAGGAUGGAAAUGCUCUGACCAUUAGAUGUUUCCAGGUGAGGUGCAUACCCUUAUGUUCUGUAUUACUGACAGUAAUGGCAGUGCUUCCUUUUUUUUUACAUGUUUGUGUGACUUCAGGACACAGUUACCCCUAUAAAAGAGAAUGUAUAUGCCAGUGCUGUUACUGCAGGGAUGUAGGUGCAGUACCACACACUGAUAGUACAUUGCAGCAUUUAAGGCAGUGUCUGCCGUGUCACCGUGACAAACGAGAGGUGCACAGCUCUGCAGCCUGAGGCCAUCACUGCACCCACAGGGGCAGAGGCACCCACAGCAGCUCUGGUACUGCAGCUCCUGUCUCCUGUGCUCGGAGGUGCCUCCUCUCCCAGACCAGCUGUGCUGGACCUUGCCUCUGCAGCUGCUGUGGCCGGUGCCACCUGAUACAUGGCAGCUCUCAAGGGGAGUCUCCUCUGAUGGGGACUGCCCAGCAGCAGCAGUCAUCGCACUGAGCACUGACAAAUGUAGGGCUGAACUGCAGAGUAGGAACGACUUUGUUAUUUCAUCCUCUGAAGCCUUUUCCUUGGAGUGUGUUCAGGGAAGGAUGGGAGAGAGACAUUUUUACCUUUCUGCUUUUGUCUCUUUCCGUGGUACAUCACAUCCAUCCCUUCCACAGCUGAACCAGUGGGUCUGUACUUUCUGAGAAGAAUUCAGCAGAAAUCUUUUUCAAUCUUUUGUCCCCCUAGAAACUGCACCAGUUUUUGGAGCAAUCCCUCUGAAGAUAUUUCGGUAAAAUUUUCCUUUUAGUUCUUGCUGCUCAGACAUGAGGCUGACACAAAACCACCUAAGUAACGUCCCCAGCCUCGGUGGAAGGGCUGCACUCUCUGAACUCCAUAAUUACAGCACAAUUAUGGAGAUAAUGAUGGCAGGUUUUAGGCCACUGGCUCUGAUCCUCCUGCUCAGGGCUGAGCAUGGCAUUUGUCUGUGUUUCCCUGUCACUGGGGCUGAUCACUCCGUGCUCCCUAAGGGACCAAGGCUCGCUCUCCACAGCUCCUUAGAGCUGAGGGUGCUGCCCACACUGAGAGAUGGGUGGGUGGGACUGUGUCAUGUCUCCAGGGACAGAUAUGCUGCUGGGGGGGAAAUUUCUGUUCCAGCACACCUCCAUACAGAGAGAAAUACAGAGAAAAAAGGAAAAGGAGUUUAUAGCCAGAAGGCAGCAUUUAAAUGCCAGUGUGGCAACCAAAGAGGUGAGGGAAUGAAACCCCAACAGAGGCAGCAGAGGAAGGUCACUGCUGCCAGGGACAGCAACAGCAGAUGGCCACAAGCACAAAUCAAGAAUUCUGCAGACAGGAGUUUUACUCUCGCCCUUUGAUUUUUUUAGCCAAUUUGCAUUGCAGUUUAUCUGCAUGGCCACUGGAAGGUUGGCAAGGGCCAGAGGGCCCUAAGGGAGAACAGUUUAAUGUGUCCAUGUGGCUGGUCAGAGGUGCUGCCAGCAUUAAACCUGCUCAGAUCAGUUCUCUCUGCUGGGAUGACAGCAGCAACCAAAGAGCCACCUGAGGAUCUCCUCCACCUGAAAUGCAAAUACCCUCUCCCUUUCCCUGUGCAAUCCUAAAGCUGGCACAGACAUUUCCUGCAUGGGGCUUGGACGCUGCUUAAACUUGGAUUUCAUCGCAUUUCCCUGCUGGGUGGAAACUUGCAGAGGCCAGGUGAGAACAUUUUGGCUUUAGGUAAGAAGAGGCAUUUCCUAGUACCUGUGAGGAGCUGCUUCAGGCACAGAACAAGGCACUGACUGCACAUCUACCCCGGCAAAAAUAAAAGAGCUGAGCUUAGUGGUGCCUAGCAGGGAAUGUGCCCAGAUUUACACCUGAGACACCUGCACUGCCAGCCCCUCUUGCCUCCCUAGGAAAAGCUAAUGUUGCACAAAGAGCACUCGGGCAAACUGCUGCUCCUGUUCAUGUCAGUUCUGUAGAACUGAGCCACCAAUAUUCCACAUUCUGUUUAACUUCCCACCUUUGGAGGUUUUCUUCUGCUGCACUGUGUUUAUUUUCUGGACAGACUCAAUUUUGCUGGCGCAGGAAAUAAAAAUAAUAAAGCUUAUGACAGCAGAGCAGGAAACAAAUGACACCUGUGCAUUUGUCAUUGAUCCUUGAAAAAGCAGGUGAACCCCAGACUUACUUUUGGAUUUAUCUCUGCAGGUUGUACUCAUGGGUCAGGGCAAUCCUAACCCAGGCACAGCCUCCUGUCAGCCGCAGGGGCCGGAGCAGCCGGCCCUGCCCUGAGCCUCGCUGGGGUCUUGGCUUGUGCAAAGCCUCUGGGCUCCUUCCACGUGCUGAUGAGAACAACUAAAGAUGCCACACGGUGGGCACUGUCCCCUCCUCCCCCAUAAGUGUCCCCCAGGGUGGCUGCAGCUGACAGGGUAACGUUUCUGGAAUCGGGCAUCUCCCAGAGUGCUGCUAACAACACAUCCCAUCGCUUCUUGUCACUUUUUAUUGAGUGCAAGCAUGAAAAUUUCUGCAAUGGACAAUGGAAAGCAGUACAGAAAACCCGAGACAAUGACCAUAAAUGGCCCUGCUGAGAAAGCAGAUCCCAUGUAAUUGGAUGGAGGGGGAAGGUAAUUCCCAACAGAUUAAAUAAAACAGCCAAGGCAGGUCCUGAUCUCACUGUGAUACUGAGAUGGAAAACUCACAUGCUUGAGAUUAUUUCAAAGGGAAAUAAGAGGCAGGAGGACAGGUGGGCCUGUGUGUUGGUAACUCUGUUGAACACAGUUAAAGAAGCCCCAAAACACAGCAGUUAUUGGGAAUAUGGUUGAGGAGAGACAGCCACAGAUGUCUGCAGAACAAUUACCGAGUGCUUGACAAGUGGAAAGCUGAAUCUUUUCAGUGAGUGCCAACCUGGGUGCUGUGCACCCAGACCUGGAGCACCAGGGUGAUGCAUCUCCCUCAGGAGUCCUGCUGCCAUCAUUGGAGUGUGCAUCCUUUCAUCCUGGAGUGUGCAUAUUCCUUGGAAAACACCCAGAAGAAAACUGGAGCAGGGCCCAGACUGGGGGCUGCCACUUCCAGGGGAUGAUGUGUCAGCUCUGUUAGAAUUGCUAAUUAUUGAGGCACCGAAUUGGCUCUGAGGAGUUCAGCAGCAUGCCUGGGGAGAGUCCUGGUGAGCGGAUCUGGAGCGAUGGAUGGAAAUCCAAGCCCUGCACGGAGCCCCAUGCCCCAGCUGUGCCCGGCUCCCUGUGCUGCCCUGGAGAGCAGCUGCUCCCCUGAGCAGAUCUCUGGGCCCAAGGCUCAGCUUUGCUGCCACUCUGCAGCCUCGGCAGAGACCCUUUUCCCCUCUUCUUCCCCCAGGAUGGAGUUUGAACUGAUGGUGGUGAAGGCUGGUCCGGGUGCUGCCCUGUCUGCAGAGGACAGGAGAGCUGGGAGCCUGCUGUGGAGCUUUUUCCCUUCUCUCACCCUCACUGCUUUCCUGUCUUUUUUGAGUUUGUCUUUCUUGCCCAUUUUUUCCUCUCCUGACCAGCAGCAGCUGGGGAAGCUGCACAGCUGGGGCCGCUCUGGCUGGGGCUGGGGCCGGGGAGCUGACUGCUCUGCAGACUCUGCUCCUUCCUAAGUUUGGGGCUUGGGGCUCUCUGGUGUCAUGUUUUAUGGAAUAAAGGUUGUGUGC